UACAGAGGUCUCAAGCGUUGUUCGGAUUCAUUGGGCGUAAAGGGUGCGUAGGCGGCGCGGUAAGUCGGGUGUGAAAUCUCGGGGCUUAACUCCGAAACUGCAUUCGAUACUGCCGUGCUUGAGGACUGGAGAGGAGACUGGAAUUACGGUGUAGCGGUGAAAUGCGUAGAUAUCGUAAGGAAGACCAGUGGCGAAGGCGGGUCUCGUGGACAGUUCCUGACGCUGAGGCACGAAGGCCAGGGGAGCAAACGGG
rnacentral:rRNA from 1 species